rnacentral:lncRNA from 1 species
CUUCCUAAAGUGCUGGGAUUACAGGCGUGUGCCACUGCACCUACCCUAACUUUCUUAAAAUGUGUGGCCCUCUCCUGACAUAGAGGUCGGUACCCAACCCACACUGAGCCACAGUCUGUCUCUCCCAGGACACUGAAUCUUGGGUGGAUUGACUAAAUAGAUGGCUGGAACCCGUUCAGUCCAGCCAGCAGCCCCACCCUGCAGAAACUGUCCAUUGGUUCUGCGUUCUCCACCUGCAGACCUGCCCCAUUCUCUUCUGAGCCUGCUUCUCCAGGCUUCUCUUCAAUUCUGUGAACUAUCUGACAUCCCUGCAACAAAUUCCUUCCCUGCCUACAUUAGUCAGAGUUGGCUUCUGUUGUUUACGCUCAAGAUACCCAACCGAUGGAUUCUAGGACAACGGAAUUCAAGAACGAAUUGGGCUCCUGUCCUAACUGUCAGCCUUUGUCCCACAGCCACAAAUCAUUUAACUGGGUCCUGUUGUUCUAUAAAACCAUGUGCUUGGUGGCAUGAGGGCUUUGGGAGGCAGCGGGAGUGAUGCAGCUCACCUCCCCACAAUAGGCAGGCUCAACUGGUGGGAAGUCAACUUCCCACCUUUCGUCUUGCGAUGGGUCUACCUCCAACCCACUGAAACCAAAGUGGGCUCCGUCUCAUUCUGGCCUAGGCAGAACAGGGCCCACAGCGCCCUCCCCUUAUAACCACGACUUCCUUCUCUUCCAGGGCACAUUCAGAAGAGACAGGCAUCUCCCUUGUGCAGGGCGGCUCCGUGGCCUGCCCGUCACCACCUGUCUGGGCUCCCUCCCCUUGAGUGAUGACUUCUCCCCAGCAGCUGACACCUGAGCUGGAGAGGGUGAAGAGCUGCCAUUCUCCAGAAAUAGACAGUGACACAGCGGAUGUUAGAUUGAGAUUAAUCUCUUGCACCGGACCGGCCCCUUGCCAACAAACAGGCCUGCAGCCAGAGGAUCUCUCAGGCCCUUUCCCCUGAUCUGGCCUCCUGGGAACUGCGUAACUCAGAUUAACAACAGGCUCUGGAGAGCUGAACAUUGUAUUACGUGCUCACUGGAAAUUUGGAUGUGUCCUUCUGUGAACUGCCUGCCCAGGAGCUAUGACAUGAGCUUUGCAAGUCUUCCCAAGAUGAGAGGCCCAGAGAACUUGGGCAAUUUGUCUAAGGCCACUUGGAGUCUGGACUGGAACCCAGGUCUCCUGACUCCCUGUGUAGUGCUCUUCCCAGGCACCAGGUCCUUAAUUCACCCUGAGCAUCUGGGGAAGCUGCACGUGCUACAGUCGCUGCUGCAGCCGCUUCAAGCCGCAGAGAAAUGUUCUUCGUAAGGAGGCAGCCGAGAAGGGACUGCAGGGCUUGCUUCUCUCCUGGGGACAGGGGUGCCAGGAACACCAGCUUUAAUUUCUGAUAGUGCUGACCUGUGUUCUCCACCACCACUUUCAUUAAAUAUCGACAGUUGCAUACAGGGAAAAUUCCCAAUUAAACUCCCGUCUCGUCUCCACCGCAGACACUUCGUCUGAUUGAGUAAUAAGCUGAUUUUGCUAAGAGGAAGCUACAUCUGCAGCUUCGGGUCAAGGGCUCACCCUGGCUUGUCCUGGCUCCACAGAGUGUGUCCUGUAGAAGGGGCAGUGCAGUAAAAGGGACCCUGCACCAGGGGUGUGACCUGUGUCUGAAUCCCACAUGCUAGCCUGAGUCCCACCCCUCAUCUUAAAACACUGACAUAAGUCGCACACAUAAGCGAGGAAAACCGACUGACUGUUCAUGUGAUUUUUGUAAUCUGUCCUUCCCCUGGUAAGAAAGGAGCAGAGAAUGAUCAUAGUGUUUUUUUUGUUUUUUGUUUUUUGUUUUUAG